CAAUAGCGUACAUUAAAGUUGUUGCAGUUAAAAAGCUCGUAGUUGGAUUUCUGGUAGGAGUGACCGUUCCGAACUUGAUUGUUCGUGUAUUGUGUUUUCUCCAGCCAUCCUUGUGGAGAACUUUUCUUGCAUUAAUUUGUAGGGAUUGGGACCCGCAUCGUUUACUGUGAAAAAAUUAGAGUGUUUAAAGCAGGCAAUCGCUUGAAUACACUAGCAUGGAAUAAUAAGAUAGGACUUUGGUACUAUUUUGUUGGUUUGCAUACCAAAUUAAUGAUCAACAGGAACAGUUUGAGGAUAUUCGUAUGAACAUGUCAGAGGUGAAAUUCUUGGAUUUUGAUCAGACGAACUACUGCGAAAGCAUUUAUCAAGGAUGUUUUCAUUAA
rnacentral:rRNA from 1 species